UACGAGAGGCCCAAACGUUAGGCGGAAUCACUGGGCUUAAAGCGUGUGUAGGCGGAUCUGUAAGUACCUUGUGAAAUCCCACGGCUCAACCGUGGAACUGCUUGGUAUACUGCGGGUCUUGAGCCACCUAGGGGCAAGUGGAACAAACAGUGGAGCGGUGAAAUGCGUAGAUAUCGUUUGGAACGCCAAUGGUGAAAACAACUUGCUGGGGGUGUGCUGACGCUGAGACACGAAAGCCAGGGGAGCAAACGGG
rnacentral:rRNA from 1 species